ACACUAUCAUUAACUGAAUCCAUAGGUUAAUGAGGCGAACCGGGGGAACUGAAACAUCUAAGUACCCCGAGGAAAAGAAAUCAACCGAGAUUCCCCCAGUAGCGGCGAGCGAACGGGGAGGAGCCCAGAGCCUGAAUCAGUGUGUGUGUUAGUGGAAGCGUCUGGAAAGGCGCGCGAUACAGGGUGACAGCCCCGUACACAAAAAUGCACAUAUUGUGAGCUCGAUGAGUAGGGCGGGACACGUGGUAUCCUGUCUGAAUAUGGGGGGACCAUCCUCCAAGGCUAAAUACUCCUGACUGACCGAUAGUGAACCAGUACCGUGAGGGAAAGGCGAAAAGAACCCCGGCGAGGGGAGUGAAAAAGAACCUGAAACCGUGUACGUACAAGCAGUGGGAGCCUCUUUAUGGGGUGACUGCGUACCUUUUGUAUAAUGGGUCAGCGACUUAUAUUCUGUAGCAAGGUUAACCGAAUAGGGGAGCCGAAGGGAAACCGAGUCUUAACUGGGCGUUAAGUUGCAGGGUAUAGACCCGAAACCCGGUGAUCUAGCCAUGGGCAGGUUGAAGGUUGGGUAACACUAACUGGAGGACCGAACCGACUAAUGUUGAAAAAUUAGCGGAUGACUUGUGGCUGGGGGUGAAAGGCCAAUCAAACCGGGAGAUAGCUGGUUCUCCCCGAAAGCUAUUUAGGUAGCGCCUCGUGAAUUCAUCUCCGGGGGUAGAGCACUGUUUCGGCAAGGGGGUCAUCCCGACUUACCAACCCGAUGCAAACUGCGAAUACCGGAGAAUGUUAUCACGGGAGACACACGGCGGGUGCUAACGUCCGUCGUGAAGAGGGAAACAACCCAGACCGCCAGCUAAGGUCCCAAAGUCAUGGUUAAGUGGGAAACGAUGUGGGAAGGCCCAGACAGCCAGGAUGUUGGCUUAGAAGCAGCCAUCAUUUAAAGAAAGCGUAAUAGCUCACUGGUCGAGUCGGCCUGCGCGGAAGAUGUAACGGGGCUAAACCAUGCACCGAAGCUGCGGCAGCGACACUAUGUGUUGUUGGGUAGGGGAGCGUUCUGUAAGCCUGUGAAGGUGGCCUGUGAGGGUUGCUGGAGGUAUCAGAAGUGCGAAUGCUGACAUAAGUAACGAUAAAGCGGGUGAAAAGCCCGCUCGCCGGAAGACCAAGGGUUCCUGUCCAACGUUAAUCGGGGCAGGGUGAGUCGACCCCUAAGGCGAGGCCGAAAGGCGUAGUCGAUGGGAAACAGGUUAAUAUUCCUGUACUUGGUGUUACUGCGAAGGGGGGACGGAGAAGGCUAUGUUGGCCGGGCGACGGUUGUCCCGGUUUAAGCGUGUAGGCUGGUUUUCCAGGCAAAUCCGGAAAACCAAGGCUGAGGCGUGAUGACGAGGCACUACGGUGCUGAAGCGACAAAUGCCCUGCUUCCAGGAAAAGCCUCUAAGCAUCAGGUAACAUCAAAUCGUACCCCAAACCGACACAGGUGGUCAGGUAGAGAAUACCAAGGCGCUUGAGAGAACUCGGGUGAAGGAACUAGGCAAAAUGGUGCCGUAACUUCGGGAGAAGGCACGCUGAUAUGUAGGUGAAGCGACUUGCUCGUGGAGCUGAAAUCAGUCGAAGAUACCAGCUGGCUGCAACUGUUUAUUAAAAACACAGCACUGUGCAAACACGAAAGUGGACGUAUACGGUGUGACGCCUGCCCGGUGCCGGAAGGUUAAUUGAUGGGGUUAGCGGUAACGCGAAGCUCUUGAUCGAAGCCCCGGUAAACGGCGGCCGUAACUAUAACGGUCCUAAGGUAGCGAAAUUCCUUGUCGGGUAAGUUCCGACCUGCACGAAUGGCGUAAUGAUGGCCAGGCUGUCUCCACCCGAGACUCAGUGAAAUUGAACUCGCUGUGAAGAUGCAGUGUACCCGCGGCAAGACGGAAAGACCCCGUGAACCUUUACUAUAGCUUGACACUGAACAUUGAGCCUUGAUGUGUAGGAUAGGUGGGAGGCUUUGAAGUGUGGACGCCAGUCUGCAUGGAGCCGACCUUGAAAUACCACCCUUUAAUGUUUGAUGUUCUAACGUUGGCCCGUAAUCCGGGUUGCGGACAGUGUCUGGUGGGUAGUUUGACUGGGGCGGUCUCCUCCUAAAGAGUAACGGAGGAGCACGAAGGUUGGCUAAUCCUGGUCGGACAUCAGGAGGUUAGUGCAAUGGCAUAAGCCAGCUUGACUGCGAGCGUGACGGCGCGAGCAGGUGCGAAAGCAGGUCAUAGUGAUCCGGUGGUUCUGAAUGGAAGGGCCAUCGCUCAACGGAUAAAAGGUACUCCGGGGAUAACAGGCUGAUACCGCCCAAGAGUUCAUAUCGACGGCGGUGUUUGGCACCUCGAUGUCGGCUCAUCACAUCCUGGGGCUGAAGUAGGUCCCAAGGGUAUGGCUGUUCGCCAUUUAAAGUGGUACGCGAGCUGGGUUUAGAACGUCGUGAGACAGUUCGGUCCCUAUCUGCCGUGGGCGCUGGAGAACUGAGGGGGGCUGCUCCUAGUACGAGAGGACCGGAGUGGACGCAUCACUGGUGUUCGGGUUGUCAUGCCAAUGGCACUGCCCGGUAGCUAAAUGCGGAAGAGAUAAGUGCUGAAAGCAUCUAAGCACGAAACUUGCCCCGAGAUGAGUUCUCCCUGACUCCUUGAGAGUCCUGAAGGAACGUUGAAGACGACGACGUUGAUAGGCCGGGUGUGUAAGCGCAGCGAUGCGUUGAGCUAACCGGUACUAAUGAACCGUGAGGCUUAACCUU
rnacentral:rRNA from 1 species